GGUUCUCCUGCCGGAGGCUACCGCUAUUGGAGUUCGAUUAAGCCAUGCGAAUCGAGAGUCUUAGGGACUCGGCGUACCGCUCAGUAACACGUGGGUAACCUGCCCUAUGCUGGGGAAUAACCUCGGGAAACUGAGAAUAAUGCCCCAUAGUUCACUACGCCUGGAACGGUGAGUGGAUGAAAGCUCCGGCGGCAUAGGAUGGGCCUGCGGCGUAUCAGGUCGUAGGGGGUGUAACGUACCCUCUAGCCAUCGACGCGUACGGGUGUUGGGAGACAUAGCCCGGAGAUGGAUUCUGAGACACGAAUCCAGACCCUACGGGGUGCAGCAGGCGCGAAAACUUGGCAAUGCGAGAAAUCGUGACCAGGGAACUCCAAGUGGCUGGGAUAAGACCCAGUCUUUUCUUGACUCUUCAAAGGUCUUGGAAUAAGAGGUGGGUAAGGACGGUGCCAGCCGCCGCGGUAAUACCGGCGCCUCAAGUGGUAGUCGAUUUUAUUGGGCCUAAAACGUCCGUAGCCUGUUUGGUACAUUCGUGGGUAAAUCAACCAGCUCAACUGGUUGAAUUCUGCGAGCACGGCCAGACUUGGGACCGGGAGAGGUGUGGGGUACGCUCAGGGUAGGGGUAAAAUCCUGUCAUCCUGAGCGGACCACCUGUUGCGAAGGCGCCACACUAGAACGGAUCCGACGGUCAGGGACGAAGCCUAGGGGCACGAACCGGAUUAGAUACCCGGGUAGUCCUAGGUGUAAACGCUGUGGACUUGGUGUUGGGGAUUCUCCGAGGAUUCUCAGUGCCGAAGCGAAAGUGAUAAGUCCACUGCCUGGGGAGUACGGUCGC
rnacentral:rRNA from 1 species